rnacentral:rRNA from 1 species
GAUGAACGCUAGCGGCAGGCUUAAUACAUGCAAGUCGAGGGACAGCACAGGUAGCAAUACUGGGUGGUAACCGGCAAACGGGUGCGGAACACGUACACAACCUUCCUUUAAGUGGGGGAUAGCCCAGAGAAAUUUGGAUUAAUACCCCGUAAUAUAGUUGAAUGGCAUCAUUUGAUUAUUAUAGCUACGGCGCUUAAUGAUGGGUGUGCGGCUGAUUAGAUAGUUGGCGGGGUAACGGCCCACCAAGUCUACGAUCAGUAGCUGAUGUGAGAGCAUGAUCAGCCACGCGGGCACUGAGACACGGGCCCGACUCCUACGGGAGGCAGCAGUAAGGAAUAUUGGUCAAUGGACGCAAGUCUGAACCAGCCAUGCCGCGUGAAGGAUUAAGGUCCUCUGGAUUGUAAACUUCUUCUAUUUGGGACGAAAAAGGGCCUUUCUAGGUCAACUGACGGUACCAGAUGAAUAAGCACCGGCUAACUCCGUGCCAGCAGCCGCCGUAACAC